rnacentral:rRNA from 1 species
UCCUACGGGAGGCAGCAGUGGGGAAUCUUAGACAAUGGGGGCAACCCUGAUCUAGCCAUGCCGCGUGAGUGAUGAAGGCCUUAGGGUCGUAAAGCUCUUUCGCCUGUGAUGAUAAUGACAGUAGCAGGUAAAGAAACCCCGGCUAACUCCGUGCCAGCAGCCGCGGUAAUACGGAGGGGGUUAGCGUUGUUCGGAAUUACUGGGCGUAAAGCGCGCGUAGGCGGAUUAGAAAGUUGGGGGUGAAAUCCCGGGGCUCAACCUCGGAACUGCCUCCAAAACUGCUAGUCUAGAGUUCGAGAGAGGUGAGUGGAAUUCCGAGUGUAGAGGUGAAAUUCGUAGAUAUUCGGAGGAACACCAGUGGCGAAGGCGGCUCACUGGCUCGAUACUGACGCUGAGGUGCGAAAGUGUGGGGAGCAAACAGGAUUAGAUACCCUGGUAGUCCACACCGUAAACGAUGAAUGCCAGUCGUCGGGUAGUAUACUAUUCGGUGACACACCUAACGGA